CAAAUUCCACGUUUUAGAUUUCAAAUUCCAUCAGCUGCAAAUCGCACCAUACAAUUUGUGAAGUAAAAUUUCAUGACCAAAGAACUGGCAUGGUCCGGGUUGUGUACUCUGAGUUUUUUCAAUUUUUUAACACAAAUCGAAUCCUCUGACUCUGAAUUUUUUUUCAACUUUUUAAACACAAAUCGGACCUUCCAAUUUGUAUACUCCCACAAUUUUAAAAAAUACCAAAAAUUACUAUGUUAAAAUAUAUCACUCAUUUUGCUUCCAUAUCAAAAUUUUUUAGCCUAUACAUACGGAGAAAAGAGUCACAAAAUACUCUCUAAACAUUCUUAUUAAUUUGGCUACGUACCAUUAUUAAAGAUACUACUCGGAGUAGUACUUAGUAUAACAGUUGUUAACGCACAUCACAUAUUGUUCCGGUGAUUGAAAAGCAGAAUAGAACUUGCAUCUUUCAAUACAACCUUCCAGUUCCACAUAGGAAAAUGAAGUCCAAGGUAUUUUAAGAGUUACGUCAUGAAAUUCAAUAAUUGCAACAGAAAUAAUU
rnacentral:lncRNA from 1 species